GCGUGAUGCUUUUAUUGACAUUCGUUCAAUUAUUUUCGUUUUCAUUCUUCUUUAUUUACCUAAACAGCUCAGCACGACAUGCAAUAAUUUCAGAAAGUAUGAACAAAAAUUAAAAUGAAAAUAUGCGGUAUUUAUUGAAUGAAAUAACACAGAUUACAACAAUUUAAAAGGCAAUGUCAAUAUUCGCUAACGGCAACUCCUAUCACGGAAUCAUCAUACAUAAAACUUUUUGACCGCAUCAGAAUUAACCGAUAACGGUAAUUCCUCCCCGUCCAUCCUUGUGAGAAUUAAUGCCCCACCAGAGAAUGCUUUCUUCACCACAAAUGGCCCUUCAUAGUUUGGGGUCCACUUGCCUCUAUGAUCUUUUUGGAUGGGCAAAAUCUUCUUCAACACUAGUUCGCCUUCAUGAAACUCUCUUGGGUGCACCCUUUUGUCAAAUGCCUUUUUCAUUCUCCUUUGAUAUAAUUGUCCAUGACACACCGUUGUUAACCUUUUUUCUUCGAUAAGGUUGAGUUGGUCGGAUCGGGUUUGAACCCACUCAGCUUCCUCUAACUUAGUUUCCAUUAACACCCGUAAGGAGGGAAUUUCAACCUCAAAUGGAAGUACCGCUUCCAUCCCAUACACUAGCGAGAAUGGCGUGGCCCCAGUUGAUGUUCGUACUGAUGUGUGGUAUCCGUGCAAAGCGAAAGGAAGCAUUCCGUGCCAAUCCUUGUAGGUGACCACCAUCUUCUGCACAAUCUUCUUGAUAUUCUUGUUAGCAGCUUCUACUGCCCCAUUCAUCUUUGGACGAUAAGGAGAGGAAUUAUGGUGGUGAAUUUUGAACUCUUCACAUAACUCCACCAUCAUCUGGUUGUUCAGGUUGGUGGCAUUAUCAAUGAUGAUCUUGUUAGGGAGCCCGUAUCUGCAAAUCAACUCCUUCUUUAUGAAUCUAGUCACCACUUUUCUAGUUACGUUGGCAUAUGAAGCAGCCUCAACCCACUUGGUGAAGUAAACAAUUGUGACUAGUAUGAAACGAUGUCCAUUUGACGCCUUUGGCUCUAUAGCUCCGAUGACAUCUAUUCCCCACAUUGAAAAAGGCCAUGGUGCAGACAACACACGUUCAAGGUUACGGGCGGCACAUUGAUGUUAUCUGCAUACAUCUGGCAUUUCUCACACUUUCUCACGUGUAUGCAGCAAUCAUUUUCCAUGGCCAACCAAAAAUAACCAGCUCUCAAUAUCUUCCUAGCCAUUGAAUGACCAUUCAUGUGUGUGCCAAAUGUACCUUCGUGCACUUCUUUCAAUAUCAGCUCAGCUUCCUUUGCAUCCACGCAUCUAAGGAGAACCAUGUCAUGAUUUCUCUUGUAUAAGACUUCCCCACUUAAGAUGAAGCUAACAGCCAACCUCCUCAACGACCUUUUAUCGUUUUCCGACGCCUUGUUAGGAUAUUCUCGGGUCUUAAGAUAAUGUUUGAUAUCGAAAUACCAAGGUUUCCCGUCUACUUCCUCCUCGAUGAAAUGACAAUAUGUCGGCUCUGCAUGGCUCUUCAUUUCAAUCAUUGGUAAGUCUGCGUCUUGGUCAACUUCGAACAUUGAUGACAAAGUAGCCAAUGCGUCUGCUAAUUGAUUAUCUUCUCGCAGUAUGUGGUUGAAUGUGAUGGCAUC
rnacentral:lncRNA from 1 species